UUCACUUGAUUUAGAUUGAGUAACAAUUUUCAUGUAUCUUAUAGACUUGAAUUGCUAGAAUAUAAAAUCAAAUCGAGAAUCGUAAGAUUUGAAUCCUGAAUCGUAAGAUUCAGGUACAUUUAAGAUUUAUCCCAUAAAUUCAAAUUGUUUUGUUGGAAAAUAGAUACGAAUCGAUUUGUUGGAAAAUAGAUACGAAUCGAUUUGUUGGAAAAUAGAUAUGAAUUGUAAGAUACGAGUCGAGAAUUGUAGAUUCUAACAACAGUGGCUCCAACCCCCUGGGCCCAAGAAUUGUAUACUCUUUAUGAUAGGUUUUGUGGUUUUUUAAUGGUUAUUGCCAUUUAAUGGAAUG
rnacentral:lncRNA from 1 species